rnacentral:tRNA from 1 species
GGGUCGGUGCCCGAGCGGCCAAAGGGAGCAGGCUGUAAACCUGCCGGCUUGCGCCUACGGAGGUUCGAAUCCUCCCCGGCCCACCA